rnacentral:rRNA from 1 species
CCUACGGGGGGCAGCAGUGAGGAAUAUUGGUCAAUGGACGAGAGUCUGAACCAGCCAAGUAGCGUGAAGGAUAACUGCCCUAUGGGUUGUAAACUUCUUUUAUAUGGGAAUAAAAUGUUCCACGUGUGGGAUUUUGUAUGUACCAUAUGAAUAAGGAUCGGCUAACUCCGUGCCAGCAGCCGCGGUAAUACGGAGGAUCCGAGCGUUAUCCGGAUUUAUUGGGUUUAAAGGGAGCGUAGGUGGAUUGUUAAGUCAGUUGUGAAAGUUUGCGGCUCAACCGUAAAAUUGCAGUUGAAACUGGCAGUCUUGAGGACAGUAGAGGUGGGCGGAAUUCGUGGUGUAGCGGUGAAAUGCUUAGAUAUCACGAAGAACUCCGAUUGCGAAGGCAGUUCACUGGACUGCAACUGACACUGAGGCUCGAAAGUGUGGGUAUCAAACAGGAUUAGAUACCCGAGUAGUC